UACGGAGGGUGCGAGCGUUGUCCGGAAUUAUUGGGCGUAAAGAGCUCGUAGGCGGUUUGUUGCGUCGGCUGUGAAAUCCCGAGGCUCAACCUCGGGUCUGCAGUCGAUACGAGCAAACUAGAGUGUUGCAGGGGAGACUGGAAUUCCUGGUGUAGCGGUGAAAUGCGCAGAUAUCAGGAAGAACACCCGUGGCGAAAGCGGCUCUCUGGAACGGUACUGACGCUGAGACGCGAAAGCGUGGGGAGCGAACAGG
rnacentral:rRNA from 1 species